rnacentral:rRNA from 1 species
AACGAACGCUGGCGGCAGGCCUAACACAUGCAAGUCGAGCGAGGUAGCAAUACCUAGCGGCGGACGGGUUAGUAACGCGUGGGAACGUGCCCAAAGGUACGGAAUAGCCUCGGGAAACUGAGAGUAAUACCGUAUGUGCCCUUCGGGGGAAAGGAUUUAUCGCCUUUGGAUCGGCCCGCGUUGGAUUAGGUAGUUGGUGGGGUAAUGGCCUACCAAGCCGACGAUCCAUAGCUGGUUUGAGAGGAUGAUCAGCAACACUGGGACUGAGACACGGCCCAGACUCCUACGGGAGGCAGCAGUGGGGAAUCUUAGACAAUGGGGGAAACCCUGAUCUAGCCAUGCCGCGUGAGCGAUGAAGGCCUUAGGGUUGUAAAGCUCUUUCAGCUGGGAAGGAUAAUAGACGGUACCCGAGCAGAAGAAGACCCCGGCCGUAACUACCGUCGCCGACG